UGGGGAAUUUUGGACAAUGGGCGAAAGCCUGAUCCAGCAAUGCCGCGUGUGUGAAGAAGGCCUUCGGGUUGUAAAGCACUUUUGUCCGGAAAGAAAUCCUUGGCUCUAAUACAGUCGGGGGAUGACGGUACCGGAAGAAUAAGCACCGGCUAACUACGUGCCAGCAGCCGCGGUAAUACGUAGGGUGCAAGCGUUAAUCGGAAUUACUGGGCGUAAAGCGUGCGCAGGCGGUUUUGUAAGACGGAUGUGAAAUCCCCGGGCUUAACCUGGGAACUGCAUUCGUGACUGCAAGGCUAAAGUAUGGCAGAGGGGGGUUAGAAUUCCACGUGUAGCAGUGAAAUGCGUAGAGAUGUGGAGGAAUACCGAUGGCGAAGGCAGCCCCCUGGGCCAAUACUGACGCUCAUGCACGAAAGCGUGGGGAGCAAACAGGAUUAGAUACCCUGGUAGUCCACGCCCUAAACGAUGUCAACUAGUUGUUGGGGAUUCAUUUCCUUAGUAACGUAGCUAACGC
rnacentral:rRNA from 1 species